rnacentral:rRNA from 1 species
UACGUAGGGGGCAAGCGUUGUCCGGAAUCAUUGGGCGUAAAGAGCGUGUAGGCGGCUUGGUAAGUCCGCUGUGAAAGUCCAGGGCUCAACCCUGGAAAGCCGGUGGAAACUGUCAAGCUUGAGUCCGGAAGAGGCGAGUGGAAUUCCUGGUGUAGCGGUGAAAUGCGCAGAUAUCAGGAGGAACACCAAUGGCGAAGGCAGCUCGCUGGGACGGUACUGACGCUGAGGUGCGAAAGCGUGGGGAGCAAACAGG